AGAGACGUCCUGGUGGCCUGCAGAAAUCUGCGCGUGAUAUUGCUUAAAAAUGGCAAAUGAAGAGCUUGAGGACUCUGAACGGCAGUGGACACCAACGUGCCAAAGGGUAUCAAGUUCCUUCCAGGCAAAGACAUUAUGUACUAUCCAGCCAUCUGGUCUCUAGGAAGGUGGAAGUCCUACAUAUACACAUGGUCCAUAGAGUAGUGCUACGUGUUUGUCUGUUGGGAAACUUCUGAAUGGUAAAAUCUGAGUGUUUGGGAAUUUUUUUUUUUUUCAAUUAAAAUACCAGUUGUAUU
rnacentral:lncRNA from 1 species